CCCUUCCGUUAGUGCAGUCGCUCUUCAGGCCCGUCAGUUGCAGCAGCGACCAUGGGUGCGUUAAGAUUUUGCACGCAGGGUUGUUUCAGGCCUGCUGUGCUGCCUCACUUCUUUCCCCUUGUCUAUUGUUUGAAAAUAUAAAUUUAAAGAACAUGUGCGUAAGGGGGUGGGAGUGUGGAGGUGUGUGUUUGGGAGAAGGGAGUGACUAGAGUGGCUCAAUGGUAAAGACCAUCCUGGAAAAUCAUAACAUUGGUGUCACUCUGCCUCGUACCACAAGUCUUCAGGAUUAUGUUGACAAAUAAAAAACUUUUAGUAGCAGCGA